rnacentral:rRNA from 1 species
ACGGGGGGGGUAAGCGUUGUUCGGAGUUACUGGGCGUAAAGGGCUCGUAGGCGGCCAACUAAGUCACACGUGAAAUCCCUCAGCUUAACUGGGGAACUGCGUGUGAUACUGGAUGGCUUGGAUCCGGGAGAGGGAUGCGGAAUUCCAGGUGUAGCGGUGAAAUGCGUAGAUAUCUGGAGGAACACCGGUGGCGAAGGCGGCAUCCUGGACCGGUAUUGACGCUGAGGAGCGAAAGCCAGGGGAGCAAACGGGA